rnacentral:tRNA from 1 species
GGAAGCCUUAGCUUAAUUAAAGUGUCUGAUUUGCACUCAGGAGAUGUAGAGAGGUUCUAUAGGUUUUA